AAUAAUUUCAAUAUAAUAUAAUAAAUGGAAAGAUAUAAAAGUAAUCUGGCAAUAUUAAAAGUUUAUUAAAAUAUACAAAUAUUGAUAUUCAAUACUCACAAUAGGGCCUACAGGACCCAUUGAUCCAGGUGCACCUAUAGAUCCUUUUUCACCAGAUAUACCUUGCUCUCCUUUCGCACCAUCUAAUCCUGGAAAACCGCGAUGUCCUUUCAUACCAGGAAGACCAGGUAGUCCUGGAAGACCUCUUGGACCAACUGGACCAACUGAUCCUGGAGGACCAGGUUCUCCAUCUUCACCGUUAGACCAGGUAAUCCUCUUGGACCUGGAGCACCUGGAGGACCUGGAGUUCCUGGCUCGCCAGGUUCUCCUCGUACUCCUUGAAAGCCUUGUGGUCCAGAUGGUCCAGGUGGACCUAUUAUAUUGAAAAAUAUUAUAUAAUCAUGUAAUAAUUAAAAUUAAAAUAUAAAUAUUUACCUGGUGGACCACGAGGACCAAUAGGGCCUACUUGUGUUUGUAAAUAAGCAUCUGGACUAUACAAAGGUGCUGCUGCUCCCGUCGGACCUUUAUCUUGACUUGCUUGAGAUAAAGCUAAUUGUUGAUAAUACAUUGAUACCUAUUUAUAUUAAUUUAUUAUUAAUAGGAAGAAAUAUGUUAUGUAAUUAUUCUGGAAUGUAAGAUAUUAAUAUAUUUUAUAAUACGUAGACACAUGUAAUGAUUCAUAAAAUUUU